AAGUCACGGAGGAGAAAGAGUGGUAUGGAGAGGAAGAGGAUUCGUGGUGGUGUAAGACAACAGCAGAGAUGACCAAGAGUCUCUGAUGACAUUAGGGCUACUGUGAUUGACCAGGACACAAUGACUAAAACCCACAAGGGGGAUUUCUUUUAGAGAGUCAUGGAGCUGGAAGCCCAUCACACACCUCAUGUUUGUAUCUACGUGGACUUGGCCAAAACAUGCCAGCGAGGAUGGAAUUUGAUAGGCAAAAGAGCUAAAAUGGGUGUCCCAGACAAAAGGGUUGCCAAUGUUACCAUGUGUGCAGUGAUAUCCUCUGAUGGAGUGCUGCUACACAGAUGCAAGAGACUGGUAAACUAACUUUGUUUUGUUUUUUGAGCAAGCAUUUACUGUGCUGACUUUUUUUCCCUUGCAUUUUUCUGUAGUUUAUUUUUGGAUUGCUUGAUGGCAAAGAUAAAGCACAGUGAAGCUUUUCCUGUUUUUCUGUUGCAUUUCGAUAACUUCCUGUUGUAUACUGUUGUACAUUUUAUAAAGACCUACCAUUCUUACUGUAUGUACUGUAUGUACUGUAGUACUUUCAUAAUGGGAACUUUAUUUACUGUAAAAUAAGAUGAUGUACACAUUUCUUAUAGUAUCCGCAAUAAUAUAUAUAUAUAUACACACACAACCAAAAAAAUAAAGAACACAAAAUGAUUUACUACUUCAAAGAUUUCCAUAAAAUGAUGCAUCUGCUGUAAUGCUACCUGUUCUAAGUGCUUUUUAGGUAAUUGUGUUAUGAGUGACAAAAUGUUGCAGUUGGAGAGAACUACUGCUGGUGUUUUUGUAAAAUUAUUUUAUAUUGAAACAAGUAUGCAGUGUUUUGAUUGAUUUGGUGCAUUUUGGGUGUGAAAUUAACUGUUGUGCAAGCUUCAUGUUGGUACAGACAACAGUGUGAAGAGUUUUGAAAGUGGUAAACUCACUAGUGAAGAAUGCUUGUUAUCAAUUGUAAAACAAAAAAAACUGUUACAGGGACACUAUGACAUUUAGUUUUCACUGGAAACAACAUUCUACGGGGAUUGAUAUUGUUUUGAAAUAGGAGACUAGAGAUAGGUAAUAUUAAUGGCGUUCACACUACCAACACUUGCGUAUUCCAUAGCCAACUAAAAUAUCCCCUUUCCUUUACUUCAAGUAAAUUGAACUUAAGUCCCACAAGUAACAGUCAUGAACAACAACUUACAGUUUCACACUGUAUCACUCACUACGCUGUGUGUCCGUGCAUCAGUGUGUGUGUGUGUGUGUGUGUGUGUGUGUGUGUGUGUGUGUGUGAAGUAACAUCGCUCAGCAGCUCGGCAGAGCAGCGAUGAAAAGCAGCCUCUUUCAAGGUCCUAGCACCCGACUACGGUAGGGAUUUAAAUUAUGAAGCAGAGGAAACAACCAGAAGGAUUAUUUUAAGACAAUAAAUCUAUACAAUAAAUUUGUAAUAUUCUACUAAUUGUUGCUUCUCUUUGUUGAGUAUAUAUAUAAUGUAAUGUGUAUAAUGUAAUAAAUCUAUAUAUCAA